UAGGGAAUCUUCCGCAAUGGACGAAAGUCUGACGGAGCAACGCCGCGUGAGUGAGGAAGGCCUUCGGGUCGUAAAGCUCUGUUGCCAGGGAAGAACGCUUGGGAGAGUAACUGCUCCCAAGGUGACGGUACCUGAGAAGAAAGCCCCGGCUAACUACGUGUCAGCAGCCGCGGUAAUACGUAGGGGGCAAGCGUUGUCCGGAAUUAUUGGGCGUAAAGCGCGCGCAGGCGGCUUUGUAAGUCCGGUGUUUAAUCUUGGGGCUCAACCCCAAGUCGCACGGGAAACUGCAAGGCUUGAGUGCAGAAGAGGAAAGUGGAAUUCCACGUGUAGCGGUGAAAUGCGUAGAGAUGUGGAGGAACACCAGUGGCGAAGGCGACUUUCUGGGCUGUAACUGACGCUGAGGCGCGAAAGCGUGGGGAGCAAACAG
rnacentral:rRNA from 1 species